rnacentral:rRNA from 1 species
GACGAACGCUGGCGGCGUGCUUAACACAUGCAAGUCGAGCGGUAAGGCCCUUUCGGGGGUACACGAGCGGCGAACGGGUGAGUAACACGUGGGUGACCUGCCCUCAGCUCUGGGAUAAGCCUGGGAAACCGGGUCUAAUACUGGAUAUGACUCCAUGACGCAUGUUGUGGGGUGGAAAGCCUUGUGCGGCUGAGGAUGGGCCCGCGGCCUAUCAGCUUGUUGGUGGGGUGANGGCCUACCAAGGCGACGACGGGUAGCCGGCCUGAGAGGGCGACCGGCCACACUGGGACUGAGACACGGCCCAGACUCCUACGGGGGG